CGGGGCGUGGCGCAGCUUGGUAGCGCGCUUCGUUCGGGACGAAGAGGUCGCAGGUUCAAAUCCUGUCGCCCCGA
rnacentral:tRNA from 1 species